GCGGAGGAAAAGAAAAUAACAAUGAUUUCCCUAGUAACGGCGAGUGAAGAGGAAAAAGCUCAAAGUUGGAAUCCGGUUGCCCUAGGUAAUUGGAGUUGUAAACUGGAGAGGCGUUUUCCAGGCAAACCAAGCAAAUAAGUCCUUUGGAACAGGGCAUCAUAGAGGGUGAGAAUCCCGUCUUUGGCUUGAGUAUUGUCUUUUGUGAUACGCUUUCAAAGAGUCAGGUUGUUUGGGAAUGCAGCCUAAAUUGGGUGGUAAAUCUCACCUAAAGCUAAAUAUUGGCGAGAGACCGAUAGCGAACAAGUACCGUGAGGGAAAGAUGAAAAGAACUUUGAAAAGAGAGUUAAACAGUAUGUGAAAUUGUUGAAAGGGAACCGUUUGGAGCCAGACUGGCUGCUCUAUAAUCAAUCUCUGCUUCGGUAGGGAUGCACUUGUAGGGCUUUGGCCUGCCAACAGCAAUUUUUUCUGAAGGAAAAAACUAGAAGGAAUGUGGCCCCUCGGGGUGUUAUAGCCUUUUAGAAAAUACUUUGGAAGGGAUUGAGGACUGCAGCAGAUGCUUUUGGCGAAAUAUAUAGGUGCUUGUAUUGAGGAAGUGUAGAAUUUCUGCUUCGGGUGGUGCUACGCUCUAAUGUGCAACUCGCUUAGACUAUUUUCUAUCUGCUUAGGUUGUUGGCUUAUGACUCUAAUGAC
rnacentral:rRNA from 1 species